UACAGAGGGGGCAAGCGUUAUUCGGAAUUAUUGGGCGUAAAGGGCGCGUAGGCGGCUUGGCAAGUGGAAGGUGAAAUCCCUCGGCUUAACCGAGGAACUGCCCUCCAAACUGCUUUGCUUGAGGCCGGGAGAGGCGAGUGGAAUUCCCAGUGUAGCGGUGAAAUGCGUAGAUAUUGGGAGGAACACCAGUGGCGAAGGCGGCUCGCUGGACAGUUCCUGACACUGAGACACGAAGGCCAGGGGAGCAAACGGG
rnacentral:rRNA from 1 species